rnacentral:tRNA from 1 species
GGAGAAGUGCCCAAGUCAGGUUGAAGGGGACGGUUUGCUAAAUCGUUAGGUCGCUUUUAGCGGCGCGAGGGUUCAAAUCCCUCCUUCUCCGCCA